AGUGAGCGCUGGCGGUAGGCCUAACACAUGCAAGUCGAACGGCAGCACAGUAAGAGCUUGCUCUUACGGGUGGCGAGUGGCGGACGGGUGAGGAAUACAUCGGAAUCUACUUUUUCGUGGGGGAUAAUGUAGGGAAACUUACGCUAAUACCGCAUACGACCUACGGGUGAAAGCAGGGGAUCUUCGGACCUUGCGCGAUUGAAUGAGCCGAUGUCGGAUUAGCUAGUUGGCGGGGUAAAGGCCCACCAAGGCGACGAUCCGUAGCUGGUCUGAGAGGAUGAUCAGCCACACUGGAACUGAGACACGGUCCAGACUCCUACGGGAGGCGGCAGUGGGGAAUAUUGGACAAUGGGCGCAAGCCUGAUCCAGCCAUACCGCGUGGGUGAAGAAGGCCUUCGGGUUGUAAAGCCCUUUUGUUGGGAAAGAAAAGCAGCAGGUUAAUACCCCGCUGUUCUGACGGUACCCAAAGAAUAAGCACCGGCUAACUUCGUG
rnacentral:rRNA from 1 species